rnacentral:misc_RNA from 1 species
AUGAAAUGCAAGGGUGCUCUUCUUAGACGCCCGACCCAUUCUCAUCUCACACUGUGCACACAACCUUUUUUACACCAAUUUUAAUACACAUAGUCUAAGAAUGUUAAACAGUCUCCUUAAUCGGAGCAUGAAAGUAAUA